CUUUGAUCCUCAAGCUUUCUCUACCAGUACGUCCACCGGCCAGUUGAUUCCAAGCUGCGACCUCCACCCAGCCUACAGCACUACAUCAGCGAGCUCGUCACCGCUGAUACAUAUGGCCGAGCCAAUGCCACCGCCACGGUCUGCCGGAUACGAUCCUGAGUCAUCUCCGGACAAUGAGCCCAAUAUUGCCGUGAAUGAGAUGGCGGUUGAUAUGGAGGGAGAAGGUCCGAACAAGGAACAUGAUACUACCGUGGACCAUACGGUUCUUGGUCCUAAUGGAGAGCUGACUUUCAUGCGUGGUGAACCGAACCCACAAUAAGUCAAUAAUAGGACGGUGUAAGAACGAAUGGAGGGCUGUCAUGUAUGGAUUGUAAGUAAGGUGUGAUAUUUUCCUAGCUACCCGUAUGUCUUCGACCCUCCAUGCUCCACAUCUGAUGGUUGACUUAUCGUAUCAUUGAAUGAUUAUAAAGGCCGAGGGAUUGUUCAUUCUUGGCUGUCAUUGUACAAAGACAAAUAAGUAGUAAGUUACAGUUGGAAUGUCGGAUGGUCUAAAGAAACAAAUAUUUUUUCUUCAGCUAGUGACAGAAUAUUCUUGUAAUGUGUAUAUAUAUAUUGCUUGUGUACGUAAGAUGAGAGCCUAGUGUAUCUCAUUCUUGUGAUGUACAUAUAUUGAUUAUGUCAGAUGAUCGAGCCUAUAGUGUAUCUUAUUCGAUCUUGUCAUGUACUAAUUUUCUUCCCAUGUAAUUAAGAAGCUCUCCUCAGCAUUCAAUUGGUA